ACCAUAGACGGUGAUAGUCCGGUACACGAAAAUCUGAUCUACCCUAGGGAGUUCCUGAGUACCACGAGACACGUGAAACCUUGUGGGAAUCUAGGAGGACCAUCUUCUAAGGCUAAAUACUAACCGAUGACCGAUAGUGAACAAGUACCGUGAGGGAAAGGUGAAAAGAACGGGGGAACCCGAGUGAAAUAGACACUGAAACCGUUAGCUUACAAGCAGUCGGAGCACUAUGUUUUUAACAGUGUGACGGCGUGCCUUUUGCAUAAUGAGUCAACGACUUACCGUGUGCAGCAAGGUUAAGCCGCGAGGUGGAGCCGUAGCGAAAGCGAGUCUUAAUAGGGCGAUAGUUGUAUGCGGUAGACCCGAAGCCGGGUGAUCUAUCCAUGGCCAGGGUGAAGGUCGAGUAACAUCGACUGGAGGCCCGAACCGAUAUAGGUUGAAAACUGUUCGGAUGAGUUGUGGAUAGGAGUGAAAGGCUAAUCAAACUCGGUGAUAGCUGGUUUUCUCCGAAAUAUAUUUAGGUAUAGCCUCGUAUGAUGACUGACGGAGGUAGAGCACUGACAAGGUUAGGGGUCCCACCGGAUUACCAACCCUUUUCAAACUCCGAAUGCCGUCAAGUUCAAGUACGGGAGUCAGACUGUGGGAGAUAAGUUCCAUGGUCGAAAGGGAAAGAACCCAGACCGUCAGCUAAGGUCCCUAAACUGUGCUAAGUGGAAAAGGAUGUGGAAUUGUGAAUACAACCAGGAGGUUGGCUUAGAAGCAGCAACCCUUUAAAGAAAGCGUAACAGCUCACUGGUCUAAUGAAUCUGCGCCGAAAAUUUAUCGGGGCUCAAGCACAGUACCGAAGCUACGGAUUGAAAUUUAUUUCAAUGGUAGGAGAACAUUGUGGCCGCCUGAGAAGGUACACCGUAAGGAGUGCUGGAGGUUCCACAAGAGCUUAUGUUGACACGAGUAGCGAAAAACAAGGUGAGAAACCUUGUCGCCGAAAGCCUCAGGUUUCCUGUAGUCAAGUUAAUCUGCUCAGGGUUAGUCGGCUCCUAAGGCGAGGCCGAGAGGCGUAGUCGAUGGGAAACAGGUUAAUAUUCCUGUACCAUUUUUAUAAUGUUAUGGUAAGGGGGGACGGAGAAGGUAAGGCCAUCCGGGCGUUGGUUGUCCCGGUUUAAGCGUGUAGGUGGAGGACUUAGGUAAAUCCGGGUCUUCAUUAACACUGAGGCGUGAUGACGAAGUCCUAUGGACUACAAAGUGGCUGGUUCCAUGCUUCCAGGAAAAUCCUCGUAUCUAGUUAUAAAUGUGACCGUACCGUAAACCGACACAGGUAGGCAGGUAGAGAAUACCAAGGCGCUUGAGAGAACUCUGGUUAAGGAACUCGGCAAAAUAGCACCGUAACUUCGGGAGAAGGUGUGCCACUUUUAGUGAUUGAAUUUACUUCAUGAGCUGAUCGUGGUUGCAGUGAAAUGGGGGGAGCGACUGUUUACUAAAAACACAGGACUCUGCGAAGUCGAAAGACGAAGUAUAGGGUCUGACGCCUGCCCGGUGCCGGAAGGUUAAAAGGACGUGUCAGCUUCGGCGAAGCACUGAAUUGAAGCCCCGGUAAACGGCGGCCGUAACUAUAACGGUCCUAAGGUAGCGAAAUUCCUUGUCGGGUAAGUUCCGACCUGCACGAAUGGCGUAACGAUUUCCCCACUGUCUCAACCAGGGGCUCAGCGAAACUGUAGUACCGGUGAAGAUGCCGGUUACCCGCAACAAGACAGAAAGACCCCGUGAACCUUUACUAUAGCUUGGCAUUGGUUUUUGAGGUAACAUGUGUAGGAUAGGUGGGAGACUUUGAAGCGGGCACGCCAGUGUCUGUGGAGUUGUCCUUGAAAUACCACCCUUGUUAUCUUAGGAAUCUAACUGCGGUCCGUAAUCCGGAUCCAGGACAUUGUCUGGUGGGUAGUUUGACUGGGGCGGUCGCCUCCUAAAGAGUAACGGAGGCGCGCGAAGGUUCCCUCAGGCUGAUUGGAAACCAGCCGUAGAGUGCAAAGGCAUAAGGGAGCUUGACUGCGAGAGAGACAUUUCGAGCAGGUACGAAAGUAGGUCUUAGUGAUCCGGCGAUUCCGCAUGGAAGGGUCGUCGCUCAACGGAUAAAAGGUACUCCGGGGAUAACAGGCUUAUCUCCCCCAAGAGUCCAUAUCGACGGGGAGGUUUGGCACCUCGAUGUCGGCUCAUCACAUCCUGGGGCUGAAGCAGGUCCCAAGGGUUUGGCUGUUCGCCAAUUAAAGUGGUACGCGAGCUGGGUUUAAAACGUCGUGAGACAGUUUGGUCCUUAUCUGUUGCGGGCGCAGGAUAUUUGAGGAGAUCUUUUCCUAGUACGAGAGGACCGGAAUGGACGAACCUAUGGUGUUCCAGUUGUUUCGCCAGAAGCAUUGCUGGGUAGCUAAGUUCGGCAGGGAUAACCGCUGAAAGCAUCUAAGCGGGAAGCCCACUCCAAGAUAAGAUAUCCCGGGACAUUAGUCCCCUGAAGGCUCGUUGAAGACUACAACGUUGAUAGGUCAGGUGUGGAAGUGUGGUAACACAUGGAGCUAACUGAUACUAAUAAGCCGUGCGGCUUAUUCAU
rnacentral:rRNA from 1 species